AUGUUGUCGUCUUCAAGAUAUCCAGGCUCCUUGCUAAUGUUUCUCAUUUUCCUUGAUAGUUUCACCAGUGCCAGAGUGACAGCCAAGUACCACGGCAUCAAGCUACAAUACAGAGAGCAGAUGCACCAUGUUUAUGACCUGCUGGGACAUCUGAAGUCUAAGCUGAGCUUGUGGAGAGGGCCUUACGGCUCUCAGGAGUCUGUUCAGUCUCUGCUACAAGACUGGCAUGAGACUGUUGACAAGCAAGGUCUGGUGUGGUUGUUGAAGGAAGCGCUUAAUAAGCUGAAGGACACAGCAGUCAGCUAUACCAACAAAGCAGCUCUGUGUAAGUCUAUAUUGUUGGCCAUUCUUUUAUACUUUUGUUUUUAAUGAAAGUUAGUGCUUUUUCCUGUAAUUUUAUCUGAUUUACCCUCUCUCCUUUGUUUGUUUUUUCAGCUGACGACUCACCUGUGGUUAACAGGCAGGUAAAAGAGGCAGAUAGUGAGGCGGGAGUCAGUACAGAAGCUGCAGAAGCAGUAAGAUCCACCAUGGAACGUGUUCUGGCUGCAUGGGAGUCCUACAAAGACUGCCUGUAUCUAUUACAGGUCUGGCUGGGGCAGGAGAAACAAUCAGAGGCUCAAGAGGUACUAUUAAGUAUUUGUCAUUAAAACACAUGCUACAAAGUAUACAGUGACCCAAAAAAUGUUUGAACACCUAAGUAUGAAUGUCAUUUAGUUAUCUUUGUUGAGAUGUUUAGUAAUUUCAAGUCAUGAGGUGAGGGCACGAUGUUUGUAUGUGGUUGCUUUUUUUAGAAGUUAAUUUGUCAAUUGUCUUGUGAUCUCUUUCAUAAUACAGCACAAGCAUUUUUCCUCCAGCCUGAAUGAGUGGAGAUCACGUCAAGCCCAGCUGAACGAGGCAGGAAACUUUCUCAUUGAGAUGAGUGAGGCCUCCACCAGCCACUCUCUGAUCGAAGAGCUCCGCAAACUGAACAUGCAGUGGGCUGACUUCAUAAAAAGGACCAAGUUUGUGAGUUUGUAGAGACAGAACACUAGUUUUCAGCAGGGUUCAAAAUUAACACUUACCACCAAUUGCAUUAUAUAUUAUUUGAGUAUGAGAACAAAAUAUGUUUGUACUGGCAACAGAAAAGGUGAUGUAGGUGUUUCUCACAAAAUAAGGAAAAAGCUAAAUAUAUCCCAUUGUUAAAGACCGAAAUAAUGCAAAAUAAAGUUCCAUAACUGGUAAGAAAUAUUUAUGGC
ensembl:lncRNA